rnacentral:snRNA from 1 species
AUCGCUUCUCGGCCUUUUGGCUAAGAUCAAGUGUAGUAUAUAAUAGUUAAGGUUCCAGAAACCCAAA